rnacentral:rRNA from 1 species
AACGAACGCUGGCGGCAGGCUUAACACAUGCAAGUCGAGCGCCUCGCAAGAGGAGCGGCAGACGGGUGAGUAACGCGUGGGAACGUACCCUUAUCUUCGGAAUAGCUCUGGGAAACUGGAAGUAAUACCGAAUGUGCCCUUAGGGGGAAAGAUUUAUCGGAUAAGGAUCGGCCCGCGUUGGAUUAGCUAGUUGGUGGGGUAAAGGCCUACCAAGGCGACGAUCCAUAGCUGGUCUGAGAGGAUGAUAAGCCACAUUGGGACUGAGACACGGCCCAAACUCCUACGGGAGGCAGCAGUGGGGAAUAUUGGACAAUGGGCGCAAGCCUGAUCCAGCCAUGCCGCGUGAGUGAUGAAGGCCUUAGGGUUGUAAAGCUCUUUCACCGGAGAAGAUAAUGACGGUAUCCGGAGAAGAAGCCCCGGCUAACUUCGUG